UCUAGAACUUCACAUCCAAGAUUUCACUCUAAACACAGCGGAGGAUGUUUCCGAUCUCCCAAAAGCAUAGGAAGUGGGGUAUUCCUACGAGAUUAAAAACACUUGAACAUCUAUUAAGUGUUAAGUUUUCUGUUUGUCUCCCUGUUUCUGUCUGUCUUGCCCUGUGCCUCUCCUGUCGGUGUGCAUUUCCUAACUGUGUUGACUGCUGCGAUGAUCAGAUGAGUUUCAAAGGCCCCAGAUGAAGCUUGUUUCUCAAUAACCCAGAAGAACCCGUAAGAAACCUCAAGUUUUAAUUGUUUUGACAAGAGCUACACAUUUUUGUUUUCAAGAUGACCCGGAAGAAGCAUCUGUAGAUGGCUCACUAAUGGGGCUGGUAUUGCUGCCUCCGUCCCCACCACGGAUUUCCAACAGGUUUUAAAAGAAAAGCUGAGAGAACAGAGCCUGCAGCAUGUGAUGUCACCGUGGACUUUCCCCACCUCUCUAUCCCACCUGGCUGAUGCCAGGCAGAUUUGUGUGCACGUGCCCUUUAGGAACCUAGGCGCCAUAUUGUGUGGUUCUUCUAGCAACUAUGGAGUUAGCCGGUGUGGUAAGGAACUGAGGCCUGUAUCCGAUGACCAGUGUCAACCUGACAAAACCUGGGCUGAAGCCUUCAAAGGACUGCAGGCUUGGAUGAUCUACAGACACAGGCUCAAAAAGGCCUCCGAGCCACAGUAACCUUGUUACUCAUCCCAAGUUCCUAACACAAGAGUUCCACCGGGUAAAAAAUUCUCGAUGUUGCUUUAAGUCAGGCGAGCCGGUCACGACAAAGAUGAAGUAAGACGAGUGUGUCAGAGAGACGAGGAAGGAACUGUUGGGCAGAUUGAAGCAGAGGAUUCCCCAGGAUGUACAUUGGAGUCCAGGCGUGGCUAUGAAGAGGCGACUAUGGACAGACACAGUGGGAGAAGACACUCGGACUGAAGCAGGAGGUACAGAGGCUCCUGAGAUAAGAAAAAGCCUUGUUGGAAUAGAAUUGAAGACCCAGAAAUGAACCCACAUACCUAUGGCCAUUUGAUCUUUGACAAAGGAGCUAAAACCAUCCAAUGGAUAGCAUUUUCAACAAAUGAUGCUGGUUCAACUGGAGGUCAGCAUGUAGAAGAAUACAAAUUAAUCCAUUCUUAUUGCCCUGUACAAAGCUUAAGCCCAAGUGGAUCAAGGACCUCCACAUUAAUCCAGAUAUACUCAAACUAAUAGAAGAAAAAGUGGAAAAGACUCUUGAUCACAUGGGUACUGGGGAAAAUUUCCUGAACAAAACACCAAUGGCUUAUGUUCUAAGAUGAAGAAUUGACAAAUGGGACCUCAUAAACCUGCAAAGCUUCUGUAAGGCAAAGGACACUGUCCUUAGGACAAAACAGCAACCAACAGAUUGGGAAAAGAUCUUUACCAAACCUACAUCUGAUAGAGGGCUAAUAUCCAAAAUAUACAAAGAACUCAAGAAGUUAGAGUUCAGAGAGCCAAAUAACCCUAUUUAAAAUGGCAUACAGGGCUAAACAAAGAAUUCACAGCUGUGAAAUAUCAAAUGACUGAGAAGUAUCUAAAGAAAUGUUCAACAUCCUUAGUCAUCAGGGAAAUGCAAUCAAAACAACCCCCGAGAUUCUACCUCUCACCAGUCAGAAUGACUAAGAUCAAAAACUUAGAUGACAACAGAUGCUGUCGAGGAUGUGGAGAAAAAGGAACACUCCUCCAUUGCUGGUGGGAUUGCAAACUGGUACAACCACUCUGGAAAUUAAUCUGGAGGUUCCUCAGAAAAUUAGACACUGCACUACUGAGGACCCAGCUAUACCUCUCCUGGGGCAUAUACCCAAAAGAUGUUCCAACAUACAACAAAGACACAUAGCAGCCUUAUUUAUAAUAGCUAGAGGUCGGAAAGAACCAGAUGUACUUUAACAAAGGAAUGGAUACAGAAAAUGUGGUACAUCUACACAAUGGAGCACUACCCAGCUAUCAAAAACAAUGACUUCAUGAAAUUUAUAGGCAAAUGGAUGGAACUAAAAAAUAUCAUCCUGAGUGCGGUAACCUGAUCAAAGAAAAACACACAUGGUAUGUACUCAUUGAUAAGUGGAUAUUAGCCCAAAAGCUUGGAAUACCCAAGAUACAAUACACAGACCACAUGAAGCUCAAGAAGAACAACCAAAGUGCAGAUGCUUCACUCCUUUUUAAAAGAGAGAACAAAAAUAUUUAUAGGUGGGGCUAUGGAGGCAAAGUUUGGAGCAGAGACUGAAGGAACAGCCAGUCAGAGCCUGCCUUGCAUGUGAUCCAUAUAUAUACAGCCACCCAAAUUAGAUAACAUUGAUGAAGCUAAGAAGUGCAUGCUGACAGGAACCGGAUAUAGAUGUCUCCUGAGAGACACAGCCAGAGCAUGUCAAAUACAGAGGCGAAUGCUAGCAGCAAACCAUUGAAGUGAGAAUACGACCCUCGUUGGAGGAAUUGGAGAAAGGAUUGAAAGAACUGAAGGGUCUUGCAACCCCAUAAGAACAACAGUGCCAACCAACCAGAGCUUCCAGGGACUAAACCACUUCCCAAAGACUAUAAAUGGACUGACCCAGGGCUCCAGCUGCAUAUGUAGCAGAGGAUGACUUUGUUGGGCGCCAAUGGAAGGAGAAGCCCUUGGUCCUGCCAAGGCUGGACCCCCCUCGCAGUGUAAGGAAAUGUCAGGUGGAUGUGAAAGGGGGGGAUGGAGAGGGGAAUACCCUUAUAGAAGAAGUUGAGGGGAAUGGGAUAGGGGGCUUAUCUCUGGGAAACUGGGAAGAGAAAAACAUUUGAAAUGUAAAUAAAAUAAUAUCCAAUAAAAGAAAAGAAAAAAGAAAAAUUAAAGAAAAAAAAAGAAAAAAAGCCUUGCUACCAAAGACUCCAAACGAUAAGAAAAGGAUUGUGUACCUAGACCAAUUAGUGUCUCAGUAAAGUGAAGAAGUAAAGAUAAGGUAGCUCACCCCGUGCCACCCAAAUUCGAAGAUAAGGAAAGAUCCUGCUUUUCUUGUUCUGGGAGGCAUAAAGGGCAAAACCAACCACAAUCUCAACAGAACCAGGAACCAUUCCAAUUCAAACAUGUUUUAUUCUAAAUUUUUCUCUGAGUCUGCUUUGACAAGAGAAAAAUAACAAAAGAA